CCUCGAUCUUUUUCUACAUCGAAUCGUCAAGGACGACCCAGCCCUCGGAGCCCUUCGCCGCCGCCGAUGUCUGAGAGGAGCCGCCGCCGUCUUCCCCACCAAGAGAUCCACCCUCUCCCCCGCCAACGCCGUCCUCCACUCACCUUCUUUCCUUGCGGGGAGGCCCCAGAUCGAGUUGAGCAAGUCAGCGGGGUGGCGGCCAGAUCCGCCACGGCCACAUCUCGUCGAGAUGGGCCGCGCUGGGAGAGGUAGAUCGAGGGGGCGGGCACCGUGUGUGUCUUCUCUCUCGGGACGCCACCCCCGACCCUAUCCAGUGAGGAGGCAGACUCUGUGUGCGUCUUCUCCGACGACGACACGCUGGACCGAGGGCCAUGCUGGAACACCCGAGCCAGCACCAUGAUGCAUGGGGUCGUUGAACACAUCUACCCCAAAGAGAGCAAGCCUGGUCUUCCAGGCCCCUUUCGGGUGAGUUCGCCAUGAACCGCUUCUUUAUAACUCGCGAAGUGCUUCUGUCAGAGCCCAUGGAUUCGGAUGUCAUUCAUUUUUAAUUGCUCCAGAGCAACUUCAGGAACAUGGUAGUCUUUCUCUUUUGCUGGUGGUUGAAUUUUAAGGAACAUUGAUGGUACUUAUUUCCCCGUUCAUGAUUGGGGACAUGUCACUAUGUCUAUGUCUGUAUGACUGUAUGCGUGAGGCUUGCUGUCUGCAUAAUGCAAUUUUCCCUAGAGUUUGAUUCAGGGCGACUGUUAGCUGUGUGAAUUCCCUGCCAUGAUCUUCUUAGAUUUUAAUCUCUUGACAUGGCAUGUGUAUUGUUAGUUUUGGGUGUGAUAUAGUGGAAAAAUGCAUGGUACGCCUUACUAACUAAUUUUUCUCUUUGCAUAUUUUUCUGACGGUGAUGGACACUCUCAGAUUCAGAUGAAGAGGGGCCAUGUCAGAUAGGAUGUAGCUGGGAAAUCCGAAUGUACUUUUUUGACAAGUAAUGCUAACAUUAGAAAUAAUUAGAAAGACAAUCAAGGACAAUGCACAAGAACAAAAUACUUAAAAAAACAUAGAUAUGACUUGGGGCAUACAAAGGUGUCCAUAUAUCUGGGUAAACCAAACCAUAUUUUAAUCGAAAAGGUGAAAGCGUACACAGCUCAAAGGAAUUCUGUCUACAUCUGAAACGAUAAACCCGAUGAAGAUCCUUCCAAGGUGCUUCAGUUGUGCCUCUUCUCACACUGAACCAGGCCAUUGGCGGAGUAGUCGAAGAAAGCAACGCUGCACUAGCAAAAACAAGAACAAGGCACUCUGCCAGCGUGUGUGCAUGAUCCAGUAGCAUGCACUUAAUAGUAGCCACCCUACUUGCCGUUCUUCAAAUGAAUGUAAAACAUCCUUCGCAAGAUUCCAGUGCAGGAAAAUCGGCCAAGACACACAACAAACUUAUUAAUCCUUUGCCGAAGAAAAUACUUAAGCACUAACACGAACAAGAUCCUUCUGAAGAUAGUCUCUGAAUGCAAAUGAUCGUGACUUUUGAAUUUGGAGCCAUGGCCCAUGUGUAGGCAAGGGCAAUGAUCCCUUUUACUACUUGAGCGGUCCAACAGAGAUUAUUGAAGGUUGUUUUCUGAAGUUGUGAUUGACUGGAACCAAAGGAAAGUUGGAGAUUAUUUUUUGGUGUGAAUUGCUUGGAUUAAGUGGGAGUGAAGAUGUUCUUUCCAUCUAUAUCCGGUUCUGUUAUUGGCAAAUUUGUGCCUUCGAGAUUGCUGCUCGUGUUUGUGUUCUCAAGCUGAAAUUAUUACCCUGUUUGGUCUCCUGAAUAUAAACCAUGAUUCUUUGCAUCUCAA